rnacentral:lncRNA from 1 species
AGUGAGCAGCACUGCCCGCCCAGGCAACCUGGAACCAGGGUCGUGCCCCACGACAGAAUCUCGGGGGCCUUGGGUCUGGCGCUGCGGGCUCACCCGCUCUCAGAGUGGGAGUCCUGGCUCCUGACUGCCCUGACCUUCUUCCUGCCACUGGGCCCAUGAUGGGGGUCCCCAACUUUCAAGAACACAGGGGAUGCGCAUUCUCAGGAAACACGUCCCCUCGCCAGGCCCCUGGGAAGAGUCAAAACCACGAUGCCUGCCCCUGAAGCGCCCGCGCGGCUCCACGGGGCUCCAUGUUGUCACCCACUAGCUCCUGGACGCUAUCAGCCCGCAGCAGGGUUUCCUGGCCAGAGAAACCGCCUGUUGGGGUGCGGAGCGUUCCACGUCCCCUCGCAGCACCCCGCUGGCCUUCUGGGCCGCCCCGCCCCCAACCCGCGCCCGGGCGCUGACGUCAUCGGCCGAGCCCGACUCGGAACCACCGCCCGAAAGUCACGCGCGCCUCCCGGCGGGACGUGCCCUCUGCAGAGAUCCCUCCGCCGCCGCCUGGAAUUUUCCAGAUGUCCUGCCGGCCCUUCUUUCGGGCCUCGGCUGGGCGUGGUGACCUCAAGCGACCCCGGCGGCUCCCGUCGCCCACUCAAGAGGGCGCCCCCGCCCGCCACGCCCCCAGCCCCUCUCGGGGAAGCGCGUCCCCCGCCCGACCUCAACAACAUCCGGGAAGAAAAGGGGUCUUCUUCCUCAUGGCAUUCGCCUCCCAAAUGUCACCUUGAGCGCUGUCCGCGAUCCCAAAAAGCACUGUUAAAGAGAAGCGGGGAUACACUGGGGUCCUUGCGUGGGGGCCGCCUGGGAGACCAUGCACCGCCCGGGAGUCUCUCCGGGCAGGGUCGGGGAGGGACUUUUUUGCCGGUGGCCGUGGAGGAAUCGUCCCGUUGAGCAAUGACCCCGGUGACGCGGCUGAGGGCUAUAAAAGCAAAAGUUGUGGCAAGUCCAGCCGGAGUUAGCGACAGGGAGGGAUGCGCGCCUGGGUGUAGUUGUGGGGGAGGAAGUGGCUAGCUCAGGGCUUCAGGGGACAGACAGGGAGAGAUGACUGAGUUAGAUGAGACGAGGGGGCGGGCUGGGGGUGCGAGAAGGAAGCUUGGCAAGGAGACUAGGUCUAGGGGGACCACAGUGGGGCAGGCUGCAUGGAAAAUAUCCGCAGGGUCCCCCAGGCAGAACAGCCACGCUCCAGGCCAGGCUGUCCCUACUGCCUGGUGGAGGGGGAACUUGACCUCUGGGAGGGCGCCGCUCUUGCAUAGCUGAGCGAGCCCGGGUGCGCUGGUCUGUGUGGAAGGAGGAAGGCAGGGAGAGGUAGAAGGGGUGGAGGAGUCAGGAGGAAUAGGCCGCAGCAGCCCUGGAAAUGAUCAGGAAGGCAGGCAGUGGGUGCAGGGCUGCAGGAGGGCCGGGAGGGCUAAUCUUCAACUUGUCCAUGCCAGCAGCCCCUUUUUUUCCAGACCAAGGGCUGUGAACCCGCCUGGGGAUGAGGCCUGGUCUUGUGGAACUGAACUUAGCUCGACGGGGCUGACCGCUCUGGCCCAGGGUGGUAUGUAAUUUUCGCUCGGCCUGGGACGGGGCCCAGGCCGGGCCCAGCCUGGUGGAGCGUCCAGGUCUGGGUGCGAAGCCAGGCCCCUGGGCGGAGGUGAGGGGUGGUCUGAGGAGUGAUGUGGAGUUAAGGCGCCAUCCUCACCGGUGACUGGUGCGGCACCUAGCAUGUUUGACAGGCGGGGACUGCGAGGCACGCUGCUCGGGUGUUGGGGACAACAUUGACCAACGCUUUAUUUUCCAGGUGGCAGUGCUCCUUUUGGACUUUUCUCUAGGUUUGGCGCUAAACUCUUCUUGUGAGCUCACUCCACCCCUUCUUCCUCCCUUUAACUUAUCCAUUCACUUAAAACAUUACCUGGUCAUCUGGUAAGCCCGGGACAGUAAGCCGAGUGGCUGUUGGAGUCGGUAUUGUUGGUAAUGGUGGAGGAAGAGAGGCCUUCCCGCUGAGGCUGGGGUGGGGCGGAUCGGUGUUGCUUGCCUGCAGAGAGGGUGGGGAGUGAAUGUGCACCCUUGGGUGGGCCUGCAGCCAUCCAGCUGAAAGUUACAAAAAUGCUUCAUGGACCGUGGUUUGUUACUAUAGUGUUCCUCAUGGCGAGCAGAUGGAACCGGGAGACAUGGAGUCCCUGGCCAGUGUGAGUCCUAGCAUUGCAGGAGGGGAGACCCUGGAGGAGAGAGCCCGCCUCAAUUGAUGCCUGCAGAUUGAAUUUCCAGAGGCUUAGGAGGAGGAAGUUCUCCAAUGUUCUGUUUCCAGGCCUUGCUCAGGAAGCCCUGUAUUCAGGAGGCUACCAUUUAAAGUUUGCAGAUGAGCUUAUGGGGGGCAAUCUUAAAAAGUCCACAGCAGAUGCAUCCGGCUCGAGGGGCCAUCAGCUUUGAAUAAAUGCUUGUUCCAGAGCCCAUGAAUGCCAGCAGGCACCCCUCCUUUCCUGGGGUAAAGGUUUUCAGAUGCUGCAUCUUCUAAAUUGAGCCUCCGGUCAUACUAGUUUUGUGCUUGGAACCUUGCUUCAAGAAGAUCCCUAAGCUGUAGAACAUUUUAACGUUGAUGCCACAACGCAGAUUGAUGCCUUGUAGAUGGAGCUUGCAGAUGGAGCCCCGUGACCUCUCACCUACCCACCUGUUUGCCUGCCUUCUUGUGCGUUUCUCGGAGAAGUUCUUAGCCUGAUGAAAUAACUUGGGGCGUUGAAGAGCUGUUUAAUUUUAAAUGCCUUAGACUGGGGAUAUAUUAGAGGAAGCAGAUUGUCAAAUUAAGGGUGUCAUUGUGUUGUGCUAAACGCUGGGAGGGUACAAGUUGGUCAUUCCUAAAUCUGUGUGUGAGAAAUGGCAGGUCUAGUUUGGGCAUUGUGAUUGCAUUGCAGAUUACUAGGAGAAGGGAAUGGUGGGUACACCGGUAGUGCUCUUUUGUUCUUGCUUCGUUUUUUUAAACUUGAACUUUACUUCGUUAGAUUUCAUAAUACUUUCUUGGCAUUCUAGUAAGAGGACCCUGAGGUGGGAGUUGUGGGGGACGGGGAGAAGGGGACAGCUUGGCACCGGUCCCGUGGGCGUUGCAGUGUGGGGGAUGGGGGUAUGCAGCUUGGCACUGGUACUGGGAGGGAUGAGGGUGAAGAAGGGGAGAGGGUUGGUUAGAGAUACAGUGUGGGUGGUGGGGGUGGUAGGAAAUGCAGGUUGAAGGGAAUUCUCUGGGGCUUUGGGGAAUUUAGUGCGUGGGUGAGCCAAGAAAAUACUAAUUAAUAAUAGUAAGUUGUUAGUGUUGGUUAAGUUGUUGCUUGGAAGUGAGAAGUUGCUUAGAAACUUUCCAAAGUGCUUAGAACUUUAAGUGCAAACAGACAAACUAACAAACAAAAAUUGUUUUGCUUUGCUACAAGGUGGGGAAGACUGAAGAAGUGUUAACUGAAAACAGGUGACACAGAGUCACCAGUUUUCCGAGAACCAAAGGGAGGGGUGUGUGAUGCCAUCUCACAGGCAGGGGAAAUGUCUUUACCAGCUUCCUCCUGGUGGCCAAGACAGCCUGUUUCAGAGGGUUGUUUUGUUUGGGGUGUGGGUGUUAUCAAGUGAAUUAGUCACUUGAAAGAUGGGCGUCAGACUUGCAUACGCAGCAGAUCAGCAUCCUUCGCUGCCCCUUAGCAACUUAGGUGGUUGAUUUGAAACUGUGAAGGUGUGAUUUUUUCAGGAGCUGGAAGUCUUAGAAAAGCCUUGUAAAUGCCUAUAUUGUGGGCUUUUAACGUAUUUAAGGGACCACUUAAGACGAGAUUAGAUGGGCUCUUCUGGAUUUGUUCCUCAUUUGUCACAGGUGUCUUGUGAUUGAAAAUCAUGAGCGAAGUGAAAUUGCAUUGAAUUUCAAGGGAAUUUAGUAUGUAAAUCGUGCCUUAGAAACACAUCUGUUGUCUUUUCUGUGUUUGGUCGAUAUUAAUAAUGGCAAAAUUUUUGCCUAUCUAGUAUCUUCAAAUUGUAGUCUUUGUAACAACCAAAUAACCUUUUGUGGUCACUGUAAAAUUAAUAUUUGGUAGACAGAAUCCAUGUACCUUUGCUAAGGUUAGAAUGAAUAAUUUAUUGUAUUUUUAAUUUGAAUGUUUGUGCUUUUUAAAUGAGCCAAGACUAGAGGGGAAACUAUCACCUAAAAUCAGUUUGGAAAACAAGACCUAAAAAGGGAAGGGGAUGGGGAUUGUGGGGAGAGAGUGGGCGAGGUGCCUUUACUACAUGUGUGAUCUGAAAACCCUGCUUGGUUCUGAGCUGCGUCUAUUGAAUUGGUAAAGUAAUACCAAUGGCUUUUUAUCAUUUCCUUCUUCCCUUUAAGUUUCACUUGAAAUUUUAAAAAUCAUGGUUAUUUUUAUCGUUGGGAUCUUUCUGUCUUCUGGGUUCCAUUUUUUAAAUGUUUAAAAAUAUGUUGACAUGGUAGUUCAGUUCUUAACCAAUGACUUGGGGAUGAUGCAAACAAUUACUGUCGUUGGGAUUUAGAGUGUAUUAGUCACGCAUGUAUGGGGAAGUAGUCUCGGGUAUGCUGUUGUGAAAUUGAAACUGUAAAAGUAGAUGGUUGAAAGUACUGGUAUGUUGCUCUGUAUGGUAAGAACUAAUUCUGUUACGUCAUGUACAUAAUUACUAAUCACUUUUCUUCCCCUUUACAGCACAAAUAAAGUUUGAGUUCUAAACUCAUUAGAAUUGUUGUAUUGCUAUGUUACAUUUCUCGACCCCUAUCACAUUGCCUUCAUAACGACUUUGGAUGUAUCUUCAUAUUGUAGAUUUAGGUCUAGAUUUGCUAGCUCCAAGUAAUUAAGGCCAUGUAGGAGAGCAUGGUAACCACAGAUAGAACUGGUAUUAUCCCAAGUGGUCUGCAGACUGCUGAGUGGGGAUGGGAUCUGCUCUCUGUUGAGAGUUGGUAAUCAUUGGUUUGAAAUGUGAUGAAACCACUCAAGCCAAUGAAGGUGGGUGUGUAGGUGGGGAGUACUUUGCCAUAAUAUUUUAAAACAUUACCUGGUUAGAGUUCUAAGUGGUACUUAUUUUUGUUUGGUUAGGGGAAAGCCUGAAUAAAAACAGAAAUGGACACAUAAUAUGCAUAUUCCAUAGUCUUUGGGAGGCUGGAAUGUGCCUGGGAUUUGGGUCUAAGUGUAUGCGUAAUUCUUACCUCACUAAAGAAUUUGCCUUGUUUUUUUCCUUUUGGUGAGUGACUAAAACGUCUGGGCUUCCCUGUGUGCGUGCUACAGUAAGCAAGCAGAGGCUGUGCAAAGGUGUGAGCAGGAUCACGUGGAAUCUGGAGGAUACAUCUUGGCUUGCAAACUGCCUCUGUCUCCUGGGUGGGACUGUUCUGUCCUUGCACUGCUGUUCUGUGUUACCUCUUGGGGUGUAAGGUUUUGCUUACAGGAGACAAACUUUGGGCGUAGAAUGGAAGCCACUGCCAGCCUCUGUGCUGAGAAGGAAGGUGCUUGUUUCAAAGGGAGCAGCAAGGGAGGCUUGUUCUACUCACCUGGGCCUGUUUGCCUGAGAAGGGGAGAUAAGGGCUGAACUGGGACUAGCCAGGGGGACCAACACAAAUGGUGGGGGAUCAUGACCUGAAGGAUUCUUUCCUUCCCAUGAGCUGCAGGGCUGGUUGCCGUCCUUGCAACUGUGUCUUAUUUGCCUGUGCCGUUAUAUCUUGGUGACCCCUCCACGUGUACACUACUGACAAACGGGUGGAGUGCUGGGGAGAAGUCACUGUGCCGCCCACCUAGUAAACCUUCUGUCUGUGCUCAUGGCAUCUCCAAGAUGGGGCACUGCUGUGUGCAGAAUCCAGGGUCCUCUUUCUGCUUGCAACUCCUUUCCCUGGAUGCCCCAGAAACAAUCCAGGCCUCCUUUCCUAUCUUACCCCUUUGCUUUGCUUUUUACCCCAGCACCUCUAUAACCGCCUUCUCUUCUUUUCAGAACUCCUUGUUUCUCGUCCUGUUUUUUAUGAUUACAAAACUCUUGCUUCCACCCUGGAAGAUAACUGCUAUAGAUGCCUGUAUGUAAAUGGUGCUGUCUCCAGCAACUGGCAUGCUGAAGAAGAAUUGAUUCACGGGGUAUAAAUGUUGGGGAUUGGAAGUGGGGAUGAAAUGGCACUUGUUGAUACAGGAGCAGAGAGGUGAGGCCGACUGCUGAAGACAGCUCGCCACCCUCCUUGCCUCCACUCCAAUCCAGGGGCUGGGGCCACAUUCUUUGCCUUCAUUUAUCCUCAGAUCAGGUGAGAUCGACAGGAGGUGUUGAUGGCAGUGCCAGCAAUUAUUGCUAAUCCGUUUGCAUCCUUAUGCAUAGAUCUGAAUUCAGACUUUGUGAAUUUCCAGAGGUGUGGGUAAUAUAAUAGAAUUCAGUGAGUGGGCAUGGCUGAUCUUGUGCAAAUUAAAAGUUAUGGGGCAUAAGAAUAGCAAAAGUUGAACUUCUUUUAAAAAGGAAAGUACCCUGAGAGCCAGUAUUGGUUGAGGCUCUUCAGUAUGCCCAGGUUGGCAGCACUGAGAACCGCAGGAACGGCCUGUUGUUACAAAAAGGAGAUUGACUCAGCUGCCCUUGGUGCAUCUGACUGACUAUGACUGCUGAGAGAUUCCAAGGACCCUUAAUGCCAGGGCUAACCUCUCCAUGUGCAGUGAGACCUCUGGAGGAAGUGUCAUCCUCUGGCUUUGUGUGGUACUCAUUAUGGUGCAGUGCGGGCAUGAAAUGAAGACACCCAAAUAGGCUUACAGAUACGAUAUGUUUUAAAUGUUCGUAUUUAACAAAAACAUACUGACACUGUUUGGAAAUGGCAACAGGAAGAUAGCAAAAUGAAUACUAACAUUACGAAAAGAUGAACAGGUACAUGUUCCAAGGCAGGUGGCUGUGAACUUCCUCUGAGUGAAGGCAUCCCCUCCAGCACCUUUCAGCCUGCUAGUUAGGACGACCCGCCGCCACCCUCCAGGACCUCCAGCCCUGCACUGCCUUUCCUCUCUUUUAAAUAAUUCUUCAUUGAGUUCUAAUAUGUAAAAAAAAAAAGUUUACUGUAAAGUUUGCAAAUAAGGAAAUUUUUUUUAAAAGUCCUCAGUAAUCUUACCAGUAACAAUUGUUAUGGGCACAUUUGCUUUUGGAAGAUUUCUUUUGUAUGCAUGGGAUAAGUACAUUUUUAAACAAAAAUGGGAUUAUGCCAUAAAUUCUAUUUUGUGACUUUAAUAUAUAGUGAACACCUUUUUUAAUGAUGACAGGAUGUUCCCUUGCAUGGCUGUAUCAAUUUAAACAAUCUUGUUUCAAUGGGCAUACAGGGUAUUUUCUAGUUUUUUUUUCCUCUUAGAAAAUAAUACUUGCGAUGACUUUCCUUGUAGCUCAGACUUUUUCACGUCUGUUGUUAUCUCUUUGGGAAUGCUGAAUACAUACAUUUCGAGAAGGAAAUGACUGUUAAACUCUUAAGACUUCAGGUUCAUAUUGCUAAACUGCCCAGCAGGGAGGGAUUUUUUCAAUUAGUGUUCUCACUGGUGAGGCAAACCUGAUGCCUUCCCCUCUUCCUCAGAACCGGCUUUAUCACAUUGAAAACCUUUGCUCCUCCGACGGAUCGAGUCUGCUUUCCCUCUGGAUACUCAAAUGACUCCAGAAAGCUACACUUCCUGUUGUGAGUAUAUGAUAUCCAUUUCCCUACAUAGCCACUAACAUCAGGUUUUUACAAUUUUAUUUAUUUCUUGCUACUUUAAGAAAUUUUUGUGGUGAAAUACAUAUAAUAGAAGUUGACUAUCUGAAUCAUUUUUAAGUAUACAUUCAGUAGUGUUAAGUAUGUCGCCAUUGUUGUACAACCAAUCUCCAGAACUUUUUCAUCUUGCAAAACAAACUCUGUACCCAUUAAAUAACAUUAAACAUUCCAUUCCCUCCAGCCUCAGCAACCCCAUUCUACUUUCUGUUUCUGUGAGUUUGACUAUUCCAAGCACUUCAUAUCAGUUAAAUCAUGAAGUAUUUGUCUGUCUGUGACUGGCUUAUUUCUCUGAGCACAGUGUCCUCGAGAUGCGUCUAUGUUGUAGCAUAUGUCAGAAUUUCCUUCCUUUUUAAAAGAUCCAAAUAAUAUUCUUAUUUUAUAUCUUUUUUUUAUCCAUUCAUCCAUUAGUGGACACUUGGGUUGCUUUUGGCUAUUGUAAAUAAUGGUGCUAUGUACAAAUAUCUAUAUUAUUGUAUUUACAAGUAUAAUGCUGUAAUGUACACACAUCUUUUUGAGAUCCUACCUUCAGUUCUUUUGAGUAUAUAGCCAGAAGUGGUAUUACUAAAUCUUACGAUAUUUCUAUUUUUAAUUUAUUGAGGAACCACUGUAGUUUUUCAUAGCAACUGCACCAUUUUACGUUCUCACCAAGAGUGCACAAGGGUUCCGAGGUUCCCACAUCCUCCCCAACACUUGUUAUUUUCUGCUUUUUUUAGAUUGCAGCCAUCAUAGUGGGUGUGAGGUGACAUUUCAUUGUGGUUUUGAUUUGCAUUUCCCUAAUGAGGAGUGAUGCUGAGCAUCUUUUCAUAUGCUUACUGGUCAUUUGUAUGUUGUCUUUGGAAAAAUGUCUAUUCAAGUCCUUUGACUAUUUUAAAAAUUGGGUUAUUAGAGUUAUCGUUGUUGUUGACUUGUAGGAGUUUCUUUCUAUAUUCUGGAUAUUAAUCCCCUAUCAGAUAUAUGAUUUGCAAAUAUCUUCUCUUAUUCCAUAAGGUUACUUUUUCACUUUGUUGAUUGUGUUCUUUGAUGUAUAGAAGUUUUUAGUUUUGAAAUAGUCUAAUUUAUCUGUUUUUACUUUUGUGGUCUGUGCUUUUGGUGUCAUAUCCAAGAAAUCCUUGCCAAAUCCAACGUUAUAAGGUACUUUUAAGGUAUUUUAGUUGUCUUAGUCUAUAUUUCUGUACUCACCUUUCUUUAUCCACUCAUCAGUUGAUGGGCAUGUAGGUUGGUUCCAUAUCUUUGCAAUUCUGAAUUGUGCUAUGAUCAGGUGUCUUUUUAGUAUAAUGAUUUACUCUCCUUUGGGUAGAUACCCAGUAGUGGGAUUGCUGGAUCGAAUGGUUUUUAUAAUUUUCUAUUUUACCACAGUUUCUCUCUGCAUUUUUCCUCUUUGACCACUAACCAUGUGAAAUUCUCAUAUUGACCUUUAUAAUGAUCAUGAACUCUUAGUAUCAUUGGGAAGGCCACAUUUGCCACUUAUGAUUGUAAACCUUAUCCUCCAUUUUUCCUGUUAUUGUUGGUGCAAAAAGCACCUAUUAUACCAGGACUUUAAAAAUCAGUCUGAUAAGUCUUUGAUAAGUCUAAUAAUAAUAACUGAUAAGUCCAUUGAAUUUGCUUCUGAUUACUUUUUCUUUAGUAGCUAAACAUGUAUGUACUCCUAUGAUUACAAUGAACACUCCUCUCCAUUUAAAUUAAUUAUUUACAUUGAUGAAAUAGCAAAAUGUUAAUGACUAAAUACUGUCUUGGUUUUUUCGUUCCAGGUCAGUCAAUAUUAACUUCUUAUAAUUUUCUUUUUUUUCUUUAUGUGUGUGUGUGUGUGUAUUUUUUUUUUUUUAAUUUCAAUGGCUUUUGGGGUACAAAUGGCUUUUGGUCAUAUAGAUGAAUUCUACAGUAGUGAAGUCUGAGAUUUUACUGCACCGGUCACCUGAGUAGUGUACAUUGUACCCAAUAUGUGGUUUUUUAUACCUUGCCCCCCUCUUACCCUCCCCACUUUGAGUCUCUAGUGUCCAUUAUGUCACUCUGUAUACCUUUUUGUACCCAUAAGUUAGCUCUCACUUAUAAGUGAGAACACACAGUAUUUGGUUUUCCAUUCCUGAGUUGCUUCACUUAGAAUAAUAUCCUCCAGCUCCAUCCAAAAUUGCUGCAAAAAAAAAAAAAACCACAAACAUUAUUUUGUUCUUUUUUAUUGCUAAGUCAUAUUCCAUGGUGUAGAGAUACCACAUUUUAUUUAUCCACUCACUGGUUGAUGGGUUGGUUCCACAUCUUUGCAAUUGUGACUUGUACUGCCAUCAAGUGUCUUUCUGGUAUAAUGACUUCUUUUCCUUUGGGUAGAUACCCAGGAGUGGGAUUGCUAGAUCAAAUGGUUCUUAACAUUUUCUCUCUGGAUCUAUUUCUGGAAAUUUUAGGCUCCAGUUUUUGUUGUUGUUGUUAAUAAAAUGCAAUGGAAUGUAAUGAUCAUCACUUUUCAUUAUGCUUUAAAAUCUGGUAAAUGGAGGCUAGAACACUCCUGUAAGGCAAGAAUAUUCUCUCUGUUGGAACUCAAAUACACAGAACUGGGUAAAUCUCAAUCUUAAUCUUUGAUUCAGGACACAACAUGGCUCUCUUUUACUUGCUUUCUUUAAUUGUUUUUUAAUAAUGUGGUAAGCAUUUCUGAAUCUCCUAUCCAAUACAAAAACUAGGACAAUACAGACAGUAACUCCUAUGGUUACAAUGAACACUCCUCUCCACUUAAAUUAAUUAUUUACACUGAUGAAAUUGAAAUAGCAAAAUUUUAAUGACUAAAUACUGUCUUUGAUUUUUUGUUCCAGGUCUGUCAAUAUUAACUUCUUAUAAUUUUCUUUUUUUUUCUUUAUGUGUGUGUGUGUGUGUGUAUAUAUAUAUAUUUAAUUUCAAUGGCUUUUGGGGUACAAAUGGCUUUUGGUCAUAUAUAUGAGUUCUACAGUAGUGAAGUCUGAGAUUUUACUACACCUUCCACUUAUGUGGUCCCACACCACCCGCCUCCCCUGCCGCCUCCUGCCACCCCCUAGGCCAAGGUAAUAAUCAUCCUGAAUCCUGGGUUUAUCUCUCACUUGCUUUCUUUUCAUAUAAUUUUGCAAAAGAAUCUGAUCUAAAUGUGUUUUUCAGAGUAUAUAUUUAUAUUUUAGCUGUUCUUAGAGAAAAUUUAUUAUUUUGCAUGUAAUCUUAUGGAACAUUCUCAUUUAAUACCAUGGUAAGAUUCAGCCCUUGCCCAGGGGAUAGUUCAUUUAGUUUGUUUACUGGAUAGAGCUCAUCAUGUGACUAUACCUCAGUUAGUUUAUCAGUUCUCCCAUCCAUGGUGACUAGGUUGCCUCUCAGCCUCUCAACAACACUGUUUCUCAGUGUCCUUGUAGAAGUGAUAUGUGGGUGUUUUCUCCUUACACAGAGUUGAAAGGUGACGACAACAACGUUGGCACUACCAAUCCCCCACCCUCCAGAGGGGUAACCAGUGUUACCAGUUUGCUGUGUUUCCUGCUACACCUCGCCUUAUUCACUUCCAUUUGUAUCUGAAAAACGUGUUGCAUGGUUUCUUUUCUAUAGAAGUGGUAAAAUGCUAUUGUGUCCUGUACAUUAUUGAUUACUUUUUUUCAUUUAACAGUAGGGAGAUGCCUGGGAGUACACAGAGAACUGCCCUCAUUGUUUUCAACUUCUGCACUGUAUGUCUGUGAGUUUAGCCAUUCUGCUGUUAAUGGAAAUUUACAGUAUUCUAAUCUUUUGAUAUUACAAACAGUUCUGUGCGAUCAUCGUCAUACACAACCCCUUGUGCACAAUGCAUGAGUGUUUCUCAGGGUAGGUACCAAGAAGUGAAAUUCCUGGGUCAUAGGGCGUGAGUCCGACAUUUUUCUCCAUUCUGCCCUGUUGCCCUCCAGAGUGGGUGUCCAGCUUUGCAUACCUAAGUAUGAGAGUAUCUGUUGUUCAUAUCCUCUACGACGCUCCAUAUAUGAAACUUAAGUUUCUGCUAGUUGCCAUCUUUGAUCUAUCAUGUAUGCAGUGACCUACUAAGACUGUAAUUGGUACAGUAGAUUCUUGUCAUCUGUGUGUGAAUUUAGCAUUCAUGGGCUUAAUGCUGACAAGGCCCCCAGGGUCCAAGACAUAUAAUCAUGUAUAAUUUUGUCAAGGUAUAAUUUUUUAAAUUGCUUUUGUCAUGUGUCUGCUGGUGAUGCCCAACCCAGUGCUCUGCACCCAGGUCACACUGUGGCUUUGUCCUCUGCUUAUGCCUGCAUUGCAGCAACUGUCCUGAAGAGACCAAAAUUAUGCAGAUUUAGAGGCCACCGUCAUGGCCAGUUGCUGCAGUUUCUUUCCAGAGAACCUGUGUAUGUGUAAAGCUGUACAGGCGUGGGUACACCACACAGCCUGUCUUGCACUGUGGACUGUUGAGUUACUAGUACAUCUAGGUAAGCACCGCAUAUCUGUAUUCAUGUCUGCCUUGGUCUUUUCAACAUCUGUGUGGUAGCCGUGUUUGAAUUACCCAUUCCCUUUUUGGGGAACCAUUAAGUUGUUUCAGCAAUUUUUACUGUAGAUAAGGCUAUACCGCAUAUCUGUGUACAUGGGUUUUUAUGUACAUGGGCAAGUAUAUCUGUGAGAGAAAAGUUUCCUCAGGAGGAAUUCUGGGCACAGCAUGUGUAAAUUUCUAAAUAUGAUGGACACCCCCAGCUUCCACCUCAAGGAGGUUGGUCCCAUUGACAUUUCCCCACACCUUCACCCAGGCUGUGCCCUUAAACUUGGUUAUUUGUCAAUGUGAGAAGUGGAAAAUAGUAUUUAAUUGUAGUUUGGAUUUGUAUUUCUAUUGGGUUGUAUACUUACUGAUUAAUAAUAAGAGCUCUUUACAUAUUAAGGAAAUUAACCCUUUUCAAAUACAUAUAUAUAUACAUAUAUAUAUACUAAUUUUCUUUUAUGGUUCCUGGAUUUUGUGAGUAGUUUGAAAAGGCUAAUCCAGCUGAAGAUUUUGUUGUUGUUGUUAAACCCCAUGUUUUCUCCUAACUCUUUUUAUUUUUAUUUUGGAGGACUCUAUCUAGACUUAAUUUUAGCAUAACAAGUGACAGGGUUAGUUAGCCUGUUGUCCUUACACCAUUUUCUGGCUAAUACAGCUAUUAACUAUUGAUCUGUCUAUUCACGUGCCAGUUCCUAAUGGUUUUACAUAGUGUAAUCUGCACUUCAAAAUAGCGAAGGGAAGCCCUACCUCAUUAUUCUACUUUUCCAGAAUUCUCCUGGCUAUUCCAGGCUGCAUGUUUACCUUAACCUUCCCUGUGAUGUCUUCAUGCCGUUGUCUUCUUAUGCAAGAAUAAGGUACGUCUUUCCAUCCACUCACGUCUAUUUAAUUUGACUUUGCAUUACACAGAAAGCUGGUCUUGGUCUGUCUACCUCGGCAUCUAGUUGUCCUCACUGCCCCCUAGCCGACCCCACCCCAUCUGACUGACUACCCCAUCACAGAGUACUUUUAUUUACGUUUUGCUCUGCCUAAUGGUUACUUGAUACUGUCACGCCGACAGUGUCCAGUUCAGUGGUCUUUGCAGUUGAAAUGCUCCCGUACACACUGUCUUGUUAAAAAUGCCAGUAAGUUCAUACAAACCCAGCUUGCACCCAAGGUCACAUUCAGAGAGCGUAGGGCUGGGAUGGGUUGUUUUCCAAGCUUCUGCCACUGUGUGGCUAGCUCUUCCCACUGGGAAGUUCUGUGUACCCGGAAUGUCGGAGUGGAGUCCUGUUCUAGUGUCCAGCACCUGACCCUGUGCCCAACCCCUCAACAGCCUAUUCCUGCUGUCCACAGCCUGCUGGAACUUUUUACAAAAUAUGUUGCCAUGCUGGACCCUGGGCACUGGACAUAAGCCCCCUGGCAGCCUUUUUCAUGUCACCCAAAGGGGUAAUUGUCCUACUGGUGGUCUGUAAGAUGAGUUAGGGUGACUUGCUAAUAGACAUUGUAAAUCUUAAUAUUUAUGUAUGUAUUUUAUUAUUACCGGUUUUCCAUUUAUGAUGGUAAUAUUGUUUCUUCUAAGAAUAUUUAUUUUUCCUUCUAAAUAUUGAGAUAAAAUUCAUGCUUUUGAAAUGUUCUAUUCAGUGGCUUUUAGUAUAUUUGCUAUGUUGUGCAACCAUCGACACUAUCCAUUUCUAGAACUUUUUCGUCAUCCCAAACAGACGCUCUGUAUUCAUAAAAAAAUAACUUCCUACCUGUCUCUCCCCCUAGUCUUUGGUAACCUUUGUUAUACUGGUAAACUUUGUUGUGCUCUCUGUCUGUGUGAAUUUGCCUAUUCUAGGGGCCUCAUAUAAGUGUAAUCAUACAGUAUUUGUCUUUUUGGGUCUGUCUGAUUUCACUUAGCGGGUUUUCAGGGUUCAUUCAUGUUGCAGCAUAUAACAGUACUGCGUUCCUUUUUCUGGCUGAAUAAUAUUCCACUGUAUGGAUAGACCCCAUUUUGUUUAUUCACACAUCAUUUGGACAUUUGGAUUAUUUCUGGUUUUUGGCUAUUAUGAACAAUGGUGCUAUGAACAGUUGCGUACAAGUUUUUGUGUGAACAUAUGUUUUCAAUUCUCUCAUUAUAUACCUAGGAGUAGAAUUACUGGGUCAUAUGGUAACUGUAUAUUUUUGAGGAACUGCCAAACUAUUUUCCCACGUCCAUGCACCAUUUCACAUUCCCACCAGUAAGUAAGAGGGUUCCAAUUUCUGCGCAUUCUUGCCAACACUAGUUAUUAUCUGACUUUCUGGUUAUAAUCAUUCUAAUGAGUGUGAAGUAGCCUCUGGUGUCAUUUGGAUUUGCAUUUCUCUGAUGAGUGAUGCUAUCAAGCACCUUUGCUGGUGCUGUUGGCCAUAUGUGUAUGUUCCCUGGAGAAGUGUCUGUGCUGAGCCUUGGCCCACUUUUUAAUUAGGCGUUUGUCUUUUUAUUACUGAGUUGUAAGAGUUCUUUAUAUAUUCUGGAUUCUAGACCCUUAUCAGAUACAUGGUUUGCAAAUAUUUUCUCCCAUUCUGUGGGUUGUGUUUUCACUUUAUCGAUAAUGUCCUUAGACAUAUAAUAAAUUUGUAUUUUAAAAGUGACUUGAUUUGGCUGUGCAAGGUGGCUCACGCUUGUAAUCCCAGCACUUUGGGAGACUGAGGUGGGUGGAUCAUAUGAGGAGGCUAGGAGUUCGAGGUCAGCCUGGCCAGCAUAGCGAAAACUUGUCUCUACUAAAAAUACAAAAAUUAGUCAGGCAUGGUGGUGCACGUCUGUAAUACCAGCUUCUCAGGAGGCUGAGGCACGAGGAUCACUUGAACCCAGGAGGAGGAGGUUGCAGUGAGCUGAGAUCAUGCCAGGGCAACAGAAUGAGACUUUGUUUAAAAAAAAAAAAAAGUGACUUGAUUUAAGGGAAAAAAUGACUGGCUAUAUUCAGUCAGAUAUGGCAAAAAGUCUCAAGGUGUUAAUGUGAAUGAUUAAGGUCUUGGGGGGGGUGUCCCCUAUCAGACUACAGGUGUUUAGAGGCACAGAAAAAGGUGCAGUUGGGUUCUUAAUGUGAAAUGAUGAGAAGCACAACUCCAGUGUGUCUCUUUGUGUAGAAUGUCAGCAGACACCCCCUGCUAGAUGUGCUGGAUCAUGGGAAAGCAUUUCCAUUUGUUACUAGAUUGUUCAGAAGUUUUAAUUUAUGAUGGGUGUGGUGGCUCAUGCCUGUAGUCCCAGCACUGUGGGAGGCUGAGGCAGGAGGAUCAUCUGAGGCCAAGAGUUCAAGAUCAGCCUGGGCAACAUAGUGAUACCCUAUCUCUUAAAAAAGAAGAAGUUUUUAAAUUUGAAAUAAUAAUAGGUACUGGAUUUAUGCAAAUGUCUUUUCUGCGUCUUUUGAGAUGAGUAUCAGGUUUUUUUUUUUCCUUUUAUCAUCUGAUGAUGAACUUAAUGUUUCCAUUUGUAUUAAUGGAAUACUAAGUCCCUCUGUGAUUUCUGAACCAAGCUAUUCCUAGGCCUGAGUUUUAUUUUGUUGACACAGAAAUAAAUUAGAAGGCCAAGCGUGGUGGCAUGUGCCUGUAGUCCUAGUUGCUGAGGUAAGAGGAUUGCUUGAGCCCAGGAGUUCAAGGCUGCAGCAAGCUUUGAUUGCGCCACUGCACUCCAGCCUUGGCGACAGACUAAGACGCUGUCUCAAAAAAAAACAAAAACGACAAAAAAAAAACAAAACAGAAAAAAUAAACUAAGGCAAUGACAGUCCCUGGCAAAUGCUGGGAGGGAGGCAGCAGUGGUCAGGGAAGGUAACCCUGAAGCAGGACUUGUAAAGCAAAUAAGAUUGGGAGGCCAAGGUGGGUGGAUCACGAGGUCAGGAGUUCGAGACCAGCCUGGCCAACAUAGUGAAACCCCGUCUUUACUAAAAAUACAAAAAAAUUAGCCAGGUGUGGUGGUGGGUGCCUGUAGUCCCAGCUACUUGGGAGGCUGAGGCAGGAGAAUCUCGAACCCAGGAGGCGGAGGUUACAGUCAGCUGAGACCGCACCAUUGCACUCCAGCCUGGGUGACAGAGCAAGAUUCCGUCUCAAAAAAAAAAAAAAAAAAAAAACCAAGAAGAAAAGGAAUGAAUUAGAACUUCUUCUGCUUGGACUUAAGGGCAUCAUCAGGCAGGUUUUGGGUAGGAUAGCAGGGGAGGCAGAGACAUAGUCGGGGUCAGUGGUCAUGAGUGUGGCUUUGAGCCCAAAAACUUGGUUUCUGUUCCCUACUUUGCCACUCAGUAGUGCAUGACUUUGGCCAAAUUUCUUAAAUUCAUGAAGCAAGUUUCCGGGUGAAUGAAAUGGGGAUAAAAAUAGUGUUCAAACCUAUCCGUUGGUUUGUGUGAAACUGAAAUGAAUAGUAUCGUGCAGGUACUUGUGAGCAAGGGGAGCUGCUGUUUCCUGUCCCUUUAUGAUGGGAAAUAUCUAGACAAGUUCCCAACCCUCUGCACUGCAGGCUGCAUGGCACGGAGGGUCUUGUAACACCAGCUGGGGCUGGCCUUCUUUUAGGAGCUUCAGUGGUUCUGAAAACUUUUAUUUGUUUGUUUGUUUUAGUAGAUGUGGGGUCUUUCUGUGUUGCCCGGACUGGUCUCAAACUUCUGGACUCAAGUGAUCCUCCCCCGCUCAACCUCCCAAAGUGUUGGGAUUACAGGUGUGAGCCACUGUGCCCAGCCUUGAAAACUUUUUCAGGUUCUUCCAGGGUUACUGGGCUAUUAAAUAUUUCUAUUUCAUUAUAAGUCAGUUUUUCAAAGUUAUAUUAUCUUAAUUACCUUUUUUAUAUGUAUUAGUGUAGAGUAGCAUUUUAUAUUUUGAUAUCCUCCUUAUGCAUAGUUUUUCACUUUUUAUUCCUAGUUUUUCGUUUUUAAUAAGACUUUCAAGAAAUUUAUUUUAUUGGCCUUUUGAAAAAAGCAGCUUUAGAUAAAGUAAGCAGUUCUGCUUUCAUUUUAUAAUUUAUUUCUACUUUUGUUUCAUUAAUCUUUUCCUCCGGCAUGCCUUGGAUUUUGUUGUGUUACUCUUUUUCUAGAGGCUCGCAUUGUGUGUCUGGUUCACUUAUGAUCACGCUUGCCUACUUUUAAGAAUGGAAGAGGGGAGGUGGAGGGUGGCUGCACAGUCGAGGGUGUGAGGCAGUCUUGCUCUAGCCCCACCAUGCCCUCAGCCCGCUGUGGCCACGCUGGUUCCUCAAUUGCUGGGGCGUGCAGUGUCUGUAAGGGAGGCUACUGAUGCCAUCCGAGGAAGAUGUAAGGUUUCGUGUGGGCAGCGAGAGCCUAGCAGGCAUGUGGGGUGCCCAGCAAAGGGUAACAGUGGACAGUUGUUGCCUCAUUCCACAGAGUUUUGAUUUUUUUUUUUUUUUUAAUGGUCACUCCAUCAACAUCCCCCAUGGCCAGAGCCUGAGCUGGUCCCCAGAGACACAGGCAUUCAGCUGACAGCCUCGCCUUCACGCUGCUGCUGUUCUCAUGGGGGACAGGCCUCAGGUGGCAAUGCACAAAUCAUUAGUUAAGGGCAGUUGUGACAGUUACCAAGGAGUGUAGUCCCCCGCCCCCCGCCCAGUGAAAACAGCCCUAACCAGGGGUGGGGACCUUUGGGCUCUGACCCGAAGGGUAGGAGAAGCUGGAAGGACAGCAUUCCUGUCUGCGAAGGCAGGAGCAAAGCUGCCAGGCUAUGAAGGAAAUGGCUGGAGCCUGAAGUCAUGCAAGCUGGGGCUGGCAGGGACAGGGCCAACUUCCAGGCCUGGGGGCCACCAUGAGGAUUCAGGACGUGACCCCCAGGGCACAUGAAGGCCUUCCAUCUGUAUUUAAGAAAAGACUUUAUCAGACGAGUAUGGUGGCUCACGCCUGAAUCUUAGCACUUUGGGAGGCUGAGGCAGGUGGAUCACGAGGUCAGGAGUUCAAUACCAGCCUGGCCAAUAUGGUAAAACCCCAUCUCUACUAAAACUACAAAAAUUAGCCAGGCAUGGUGGCGCACGCCUGUAGUCCCAGCUACUCGGGAGGCUGAGGCAGAAGAAUCACUUGAACCCGGGAGGUGGAGGUUACAGUGAGCCAAGAUCGCGCCACUACACUCCAGCCUGGGUGACAGAGUGAGACUCCGUCUCAAAAAAACCAAAAGACUUUAUCUUAUUUCCUAUAUGUUUGUGGUUUCAGUCCUGAUGUAUAAUUUGACCCUAGUUAGAAUGGUUAUCUGAGGAAGUGGCCUGUACGAUUUCUGCUUUUUUAAAUGUGUGGCUCCCUUUCUUCAUUGAUUAACGUAUGAUUAUUUUUAUAAAUGUUCCAUGGCAGUGGGAAGGGAUUCUCUGUCACAUUCCACAUCUGGAUCAGUUCCUCCCCAUUUUGUUGGUCAAAUCCGAUCUGCCAUAUCCUGUGUAAUGACAAGUGAGUUGCAUUCUCACCGUCACUCCUGGGGUCUCUCCGCUUCCCCUGAGCUGGCUCAGCAGUCUGCUCCAUGUGUUUUGAUGCAGGGUGACCCAUUGGUAUUCCCGACACUAACGCCCCCGUCUGUGGACUGCUUGCUGCUUGGGCUUCACUGUGUCUGGUGUUGACAGUGCAGACCUAAAGGUGUGCACACAUGUGCACACACACUCCGCUGUCUUCUUGUUUGCACUGGACUUAAAUAUCUAUGAGGGUUAUUUUCAACUGCUGAAUUUGGAAUGAUUUUUAUAUCUUUUCUGCUUUCUGCCCAUGUACAUGUGUUUAUUUUACACUGUUGUGAUUGGUAGUUACUAUGUGGGGACACAAUUACUUGGGCUGAAAUAAUCCACCUGUUGUGGUUGGGGUCCUCUGGGGCAUUCCAGGGUGAGAGGUUGUCACUGCCACCUGGGCCAUGUGGGCCGGCACCAGCAUUUUGUGGUUACGAAUUCUACAGUCACAAAUAUCUUUGGGCAAAUCCCCUUCUAUACCUCAAGGCAGCUUUUGGUUUGCAACCCCACUGGCCAGAGGGAAGGGCCAGUCACUUGGCUCUCUCACUGCCCUGCGCCCCAGAUGGUUCUAGGGCUGCUGUUUUCCCUUGGCCCUGCCAACACCACUGUUUUUACUUCUGCUCAUUGGCUGAGUGCAGUGGUUCCUGGAAGCCAGUGGCACGUUUCCCCGCGUAGCUCGCUUAUCCCACAGCACACACCCAAGGGUUCUGUUGCUAACACGCUGAAUUAAUUCUUUGCUCAUCUUACAGAGUGUGUUUUGACUGCCCCCAUUUCUGAGGCCUUGUAAGGCCAGAGCUUUGUUGCUUCAUCGGCAGGUUGGGACUUAGAUGGCCGUGAAUGUUUCCUCUCUGCUGCUGCAGUAAGUAAGUGCCCGCACCAUAGUGUGUUUGGAGGCUGAAGUUGAAGCGAGGCUGUGAGGGGAGAUGGACGUGUGAGGAGGGAUGAUGGGGCUUGAGCAAAGUGGGGGAGGGGGCAAAGGCAGUUGGCCCAACACAUUCCCCACCCCUUUGAGAGGUCUGAGGCCUGCAGACCUGGCUCGGAGCCCACCUGGUAGUCCUCAGACUGUGUGUGUGUGUGUGUGUGUGUGUGUGUGUGUGUGUGUGUGUGUGUGUGUGUGUGUGUAAAAGAGAGAAGUUGUGGAGAAAUGGGGGGCUGAUUCUGCUCAGAUUCAUCAGGAUGAGUAGAAGGCACCCAGCUCUCACCCUGGCCUGACAUGUGUGUCCCUGAGCAGGUUACAGUCCUCUCUGAGCCUCUGCUUCCCAUCUGGACCCUGCUGGGCAGGGCUUCUGAGCUCCUUAGCACUAGCAGGAGGGGCUCCAGGGGCCCUCCCUCCAUGGCAGCCAGGACAGGACUCUCAAAUGAGGACAGCAGAGCUCGUGGGGGGCUCCCACGGACCCGCCGUGGGCCCAGGGGAGGCAGAGCCUGAGCCAACAGCAGUGGUGCUGUGGACCGUGGAUCCUGAGGGUGGCCUGGGGCAAGUACCGGCUGAGGGUCCAGGUGGGCUUUGUGUACCUUUGGGUCCUGGGGCCCUGGUGACUUGGACUCCAGGUUAGAGUCAAGUGACAGGAGAAAGGCUGGUGGGGCCCUGUGCUUCCGACUUCAUUUCGAGUGAUGGCAGUUCCCAGGAAGGAAUCCACAGCUGACGGUGGCUGACAGAUCAGAGAAUGGAAGGCGAGGCAGGCGGGCGUCUGCGUGACCUCAGGUGCUUGGGGCCCAGCAGACCCAGAGAACCAUUUCCACUAGGCCAGGGUGCCGGAAGUGUCCACAGGUCUUAGAUUCCCUGUUCAGAUGAAAAGAUUUGUGCCUUUAAUGAUAAAAGUGAUCUGCAUAGAGUCAAAAAUUCAAGCCAUGGGUAUAAAAUGCAAGUAAAAUCCCUGCCCUCACCUAUCCCACCCUACUACACAGAGAUGUCCUCUCGAGUUUCCUAGACUCACUCUGGAAAUUUCUGUAUACACACAGAAGCUUGUGCCUCUGCUCGUGAAGGCAGAGGGAGGGAGAGCUGAAGGGCCAGCACCUUCUCACCUGUGGGCCCCCUCAGUGCUCGGUCCCAGAGCAUGCAGGACUGUGCCUCGUGUUCAGUUUGCUGGUCUGACUUCAUGCUCCUUGGGCAGGAUAUGCAUGUGCCAUGCUAGGAGACAUGUGGAUGUGAAGCUGGGGGACAAUGUCCCCUGGCUAUGCCUUUACAAGGGAAGUAAGGAAGGUAGGAGGUGAGCCUGGGAGGGAGGGAGGGAGGCGCGGAGCCGCCGCAGGUGUUUCUUUUACUGAGUGCAGCCCAUGGCCGCACUCAGGUUUUGCUUUUCACCUUCCCAUCUGUG